rnacentral:rRNA from 1 species
GAUGAACGCUGGCGGCGUGCCUAACACAUGCAAGUCGAACGAAGCUCUUACGACAGAACUCUUCGGAGGAAAGAUGUAUGAGACUUAGUGGCGACGGGUGAGUAACGCGUGGGUAACCUGCCCUGUACAGGGGGACAACAGUUAGAAAUGACUGCUAAUACCGCAUAAGCCUACAAAACCGCAUGGUUCUGUAGGAAAAACUCCGGUGGUACAGGAUGGGCCCGCGUCUGAUUAGCUAGUUGGUGAUGUAACGGACCACCAAGGCGACGAUCAGUAGCCGGCUUGAGAGGGUGAACGGCCACAUUGGGACUGAGACACGGCCCAAAACUCCUACGGGAGGCAGCAGUGGGGAAUAUUGCACAAUGGGGGAAACCCUGAUGCAGCGACGCCGCGUGAGUGAAGAAGUAUUUCGGUAUGUAAAGCUCUAUCAGCAGGGAAGAAAAUGAACGGUACUUAAUGAAUAAGCU